CCAAACUUGGUCAUUUAGAGGAAGUAAAAGUCGUAACAAGGUUUCCGUAGGUGAACCUGCGGAAGGAUCAUUACCGAGUUAGGUGUCCGCCCCCUUGGGGUGUGCCCGACCUCCAACCCUGUGCCUAUUUCGACCUUUUUGUUGCUUCGGCGGGCCCGCCCUGUGAGGGCCGCCAAGGGCGUCAUUGCCCUCUGGCCUGCUGCCCGCCGACGGCCCCAUUCAAACUCUUGUUGUCUGAAUGUGUCUGAAUUCUUGUUAUACCAAUAACUACAAAACUUUCAACAACGGAUCUCUUGGUUCUGGCAUCGAUGAAGAACGCAGC
rnacentral:misc_RNA from 1 species